rnacentral:rRNA from 1 species
GACGAACGCUGGCGGCGUGCUUAACACAUGCAAGUCGAACGGAAAGGCCCCUUUGGGGGUACUCGAGUGGCGAACGGGUGAGUAACACGUGAGUAACCUGCCCUUGACUUCGGGAUAACUUCAGGAAACUGGGGCUAAUACCGGAUAGGAAUCCUUGCUGCAUGGUGGGGGUUGGAAAGCUUCGGCGGUUUUGGAUGGACUCGCGGCUUAUCAGCUUGUUGGUGGGGUAGUGGCUUACCAAGGCUUUGACGGGUAGCCGGCCUGGGAGGGCGACCGGCCACAUUGGGACUGAGAUACGGCCCAGACUCCUACGGGAGGCAGGAGUGGGGAAUAUUGGACAAUGGGCGGAAGCCUGAUGCAGCAACGCCGCGUGCGGGAUGACGGCCUUCGGGUUGUAAACCGCUUUCAGCAGGGGCGAAGCUUGUGGUGACGGUACCUGCAGAAGAAGCACCGGCUAACUACGUG